UCCUGCUCUCACUCCUGAAAGCCCCA
rnacentral:piRNA from 2 species